CACUAGGUUGGAGCGUAGCACUUUGGGAAUGGAAGCAACAAGUCCUAACCUCACAGUCAGUCAGGCAUUCAACUCAAAUACAUGAUCAUUUAUUCAGGAGGCAUCUGCUGUGUGCAAUGGCUUUGGGACAGCACAGAGAGAGAUGCAAAGAUGGAAACACUGUCUCUACCCCAGUGUAGUUUAGGACCUGUCUUGGGAAGAAAGCAAUUGUUUCCAAUAACAGUAGUAAGAACAGCAAGAGAGAUGCAGUGAUGUAGAAUGGGAAGGAGAUUCAGAGCAUUCUUGAGUGAGCUGCUAAUUGGAGGGCUGAGGGGAUUGUGACUUCAUCCUUUGCAUCCAGGUGCUGCUGGCGUGUCUGGUGCACAGUGGGUGCUCUGCAGUGUUUGCCAAGCCAUUAUUGAGAAGGGGUAUCCAAUGGUGUGCAUACCCCUUCGAAAGGGCUUACUAGUCAUGUGAGGUGCUACUAGAGAGACAAGUUAAGGUUUUGAAUGAGAGAUGAGAGUUGGAAGAAUAUUCUAGUGGAAAAAAAGAAUAUGAGAAACAGUUCAGAAACAUGGAAUCCCUGCUCAACUUCCUCUGCUCACUGCCCCCGGCCACUUCAUCCAGGGAUGUUGAGGACAGAUUUCUCUACAGGCAGCAUCUGAAGUCUCUCUGAAAACACAAGAAAAGAAUAUACAGAGAACCUCCCAGAAACUGCAAGUCCCAUGGAAAUUAAGGCCAUUAGUGUUUUGUAUAAUAAACAGUCACCUUUGCAUUUAAAA